CAAAGGACAUGACAAGUUAUUUUUCAUAAUUACUACUUUAUUUUGUAGCUAAGAACUUUCCAUGUUAAGCAUCGCUUAAGGGGUCGGGAAUGUUACUGCCGUUAUGCGUGAUGUCACGCACUCAUUAGCUAGAUCCCGAGAGGCGCUGCGAGUUAAAAAAUACAUGUGCUCGAUCGAAGUGGAGAAUCGUUUCAACGCCCGUUUAACGUCAUCGUUUAUAUUAUAAGGACACAAACUUUUCGAAACCGUACAACGUUCGUUCAAGAUUGUAAAGUCCAUUUCAUAAUUACAAGUACGCGUGUUCAAGUU